rnacentral:tRNA from 1 species
GGGCGCAUAGCGCAGUGGUAGCGCGUCCGCUUUGCAAGCGGAAGGCCCCGGGCUCAAUCCCCGGUGUGUCCA